CUUGACAUCCCGGAGACCCUUAGGAAACUAGGGGUGCUUCCAUCUGGAGAAUCUGGAGACAGGUGCUGCAUGGCUGUCGUCAGCUCGUGUCGUGAGAUGUUGGGUUAAGUCCCGCAACGAGCGCAACCCUUGCCUUUAGUUGCCAGCAGUUCGGCUGGGCACUCUAAAGGGACUGCCGGUGUUAAACCGGAGGAAGGUGGGGAUGACGUCAAGUCCUCAUGGCCUUUAUGACCAGGGCUACACACGUACUACAAUGGCCGAUACAAAGGGCAGCGACACUGCGAGGUGAAGCCAAUCCCGUAAAAAUCGGUCUCAGUCCGGAUUGGAGUCUGCAACUCGACUCCAUGAAGUUGGAAUCGCUAGUAAUCGUGGAUCAGCAUGCCACGGUGAAUACGUUCCCGGGCCUU
rnacentral:rRNA from 1 species